rnacentral:hammerhead_ribozyme from 1 species
CUACUGCUGAAGAGUCCCAAACCAGGACGAAACAGCUGUCCAGUAC